UCGAACAGGGUUUUACACUAGGGAA
rnacentral:misc_RNA from 1 species